GCGUUGUUCGGAAUUACUGGGCGUAAAGCGCGCGUAGGCGGCUUUGUAAGUUAGAGGUGAAAGCCCGGGGCUCAACUCCGGAACUGCCUUUAAGACUGCAUGGCUAGAGUCAUGGAGAGGUGAGUGGAAUUCCGCGUGUAGAGGUGAAAUGCGUAGAUAUGCGGAAGAACACCAGUGGCGAAGGCGACUCACUGGACAAGUAUUGACGCUGAGGUGCGAAAGCGUG
rnacentral:rRNA from 1 species